CUUCAGAGACCUAGGGGUUCUGCAGCAGACGCCGAGCCCUGCAGGCCCCAGGCUCCACCUGUCCCCUACUUUUGCCAGCCUGGACAAUCAGGAAAAACUAGAACAGUUCAUCCGGCAGUUCACUUGUAGCUAGAACUGUGAGAAGGAGCCUGUGCUGAGACUUCUGAGCCCCAGAACACAGCUGUGUCCUAGAGCCAGAAGAUGGAGAGGAGGCUGCAAACCCUUAGCUAUAAAUAUAAUCAUUGAGGCUUGAUUGUCCCUUGCCAUCUCUUGCUUUUUCCCUUCUUUGAUGUGAUAAACAAGGGGACGACACGAAUUGUCUUUUCCCCAGCCCAGCAGCAUCUUUUUGGCAUAUGUGUGUGUAUUUGCUCUCUUCUUCCCCAGUCCCACAAAAUGCCCCAACUUGUCCCAUGAAACAAAGCCCAAAAGAAGACAAACAGCAGAAGCAAAGCUGCUGCUUUGACCUGACGAAUUUAUUGAAGAGAGCUCUGUCCUUCUCCCUUCUACCGAGAAGAGGCGGCUUGCAGGGCUGGCACCUGUCCACACCUGUCACUGGGCCUUUCCCUGGGCUAGGCUGAGUGGGAGCAGAUGCCCUCAUCCUAUGUGCAGGGCCUGUGCAGGAGCCAUCACACCACCUUGUUGAUGAUGACACCUAGUUCUUCAAUCUCACACUGGACUUCAUCCCCCUUCUGCAACAGAGCAGGCCAUGACAGUGUCAGCCCUUCCGUCAGACACACAUACACAAGCCUGUACUUCUCAAGUCUGAGGCAAGCCUGCCAGGCCUUUGGGGCCCUUGCUCUUUGCUUUUCGCUAACCUACCUUGAGAAAGACAGGAGGUUUCCUGAAUACACCGACACCUGGGGGGGUCCCAGUUAGGAUGACAUCCCCUGGGUAAAAGGUAACAAACCUGGAUCAAAGCAGAAGGACCCGGUGAGACCAGGGGCUGGCUGAGGUGGCCACAGCCAAAGAUGGAGGGCUCAGGUCAGCCUCCACAUGUGUGGCAGGUGAAGCGGGGCUGGCAGGACAGCCCCUGUCACUCACUGGGAGACCCAGGCUAUCAGGUCCUCUGUCUUGAAUACCAUCUGGUUGGUGUUGCCGCUCUGGACCACUUCCCCAUUCACUCGGCAGCAGAUCUUUAAGUUGUGUGGAUCUGAAAUGCAAAGAUGGUACCUUGGAGUUAUCCCUUUUCCCCCUCAAACCCCCCAAUAUUUUACAAACACAACUGUAGGGGUGCUUCGUGACUUGGCAGGUGAAAGGGCUUCAAAGUGCCCACAUUGACUCAGUGCUCUAUGUUAGAACUUUCUGUAUAGACAUUGGCCUUCUCAGGCCUCCCCGCAUCCCCACCAAGAGCACCAAGCAGUAGUAACAGGGAUGGGUUGAGAGGAUGUUUCAGACUCUGAAGGGGAAGAGAAAAAUGGCUAGGGUUUUUGCCUUGAAAAAAAUAAGGGCAUCUGUCUACAGCAUAGGAUGACACCUGUAGAUUGACUCAGCAGGGCCAAGCGUGGUGGCUCAUGUCUGUAAUCAUAGCACUUUGGGAGGCCAAGGCAGGCGAGAACUGAUUAAGCUCAGGAGUUCAAAAUCAGCCUGGGUAACUUAGUGAGUGCUUGUCUCUACAAAAAAUAAUAAAAACAUUAGUCAGGCGUGGUGGUGCGUGCCUGUAGUCCCAGCUACUCAGGAGGCUGAGGCGGGAGAACUGCUUGAACUCAGGAGGUUGAGGCUUCAGUGAGCUGGGAUUGGGCCACUGCACUCCAGCCUGGGUGACACAGUAAGACCAUGGCAAAAAAAAGACUCAGCAUCUAUAAAGCAGUGAGGCAAUGGUUCUAGCCGGGACAGAGAAGCCUCGUGUACUGGAUGCUGGCAGGGGAUGGAUUACUGUAAGAACAUCCUGGCUAACCAGCACUUUUUACUGUUGGUGGUGGUCCUAGUGUUCUACCCCCCUUAAGUAGAGCAGCUGAAACACAAUUUAACUUUGCUGAGGACUCUGCAUGGGGUGCUGAGGCACUGGGGUCUUUGGUAUCCUGGCAUGGCUGGCCCAUGUGGACACCCCCCACCUCCACCACAGUUGUGGGUGGCUGUGUAAGAGGCUGCGCUCUGCCCUCUGGGGCACUGCCCCCAUCCUGGCGCUGUAUCCUGACUGUGUGUGGUCAGUGCUGUUCUAUUUCCACAGUGGCUGGGUGAGUCACACUGGCUUUCAUCUCCUGUAGUGUGGAAAAUGCCUUGGCCUUGGGAUAACUAUGCUCCAUGAUGCUCAACUUAGAUUGUUUCAGAGGUGGCAGCCGCAGGAAGCCCGAUCCACCCAUCAGCUCAGUGUUCUUUGUAAUUUACUUCACGCAUGCAGUUUCACAUCCUCUGCAGUUGUGUUCCCUCUAGGGGGCUUGGGAAGGAAGCCCAUGGGAGAACUCGUGGCUGAGGAUAAGAGACUUGCCCUGUAUGGAGUCAGCAGUGAAAGGGCGGCCAGGGAGGGCAGGUGCCACAUGUACCUGAACCCAUGCUCCUCCCUGAAGCGCUGUUCAUCUGUGCAAUGGUAGGUAUAAGGGGGCAGGGACCAGGGACCUACCUGCUACACUGUCCUUGGUCACCAAGGCAGGGCCCAGAGGGCAGAAGGUGUCGAAGGUUUUUCCCAGCAGCCAUUGUUUCCCAUUACGUCUCAUUUGCCAGUCACGAGCACUCACGUCAUGAGCCACAGUGAAGCCGGCCACGUGGGCCAUAGCAUCUGUGGCCUAUGGGGGCAGGGGAUUUGGCCAUACAGGAGGUUAGAUCAUGGGUGACACCAACACCUAUGGCAAGGGAUCUCUAAGCUGUUAUCCCAUGUUAGUAGCCAGAGCCAGCCAAAGGUGGGUGAAGGGAAAGGCAGUGUCAGGGAGCAAGGAGGCUGACUGCUUCCUAGUGUCAGGGACAGCUGGCACCGUGUGUUGGUGAGUGGGGUCAGAACUAGGAGAGGCAGGAGCUGGGGCCUCUGCUGCACUCUGGACUGGGAGCCCACCCUUUCCACCUCACCUUGAUGUGCUUGCCUUUCUUUCCAAUGACCACGGCCAGCUCCACUUCCCAAUCUACCUCCUGUAGGGUGGGAGAGGAACAGUGAGCUGCAGUGGCUUCAGGGCCCACUGUCCAUGCUGAGAGGCUGCACACCAUGCUGAAGGGCCUCAACCUUUGUCAGUAUGGCUUCGCUGCCAUCCCAUGUUUGCCAUCACCACGAACCAGAGCCCAGUGAAUGACAAGGGAGGUGUGACUUGUAGACCCAUACAUUUUGGGCAGUGGCAGACAGCAUCAUGGGAUGCAGGCACAGGUCCCCACACCACUGACUGCAGAAGAGCAACACGUGUCCAGGGCACUGAGUUUAAAAGUCACUCUGGAUACUUUUAACAAAGGAUAAAUACGAAGUAAUAUCCCCUAGCAAUAUGUAACCCUACUGUGUGUCAGGCACUGUUCUAAGUGUUUUAAUCUAUUAACUCCCACAAAGGACUUGAGUAAGCAAUUCACAAAAAGGUAACGGACAUGGCCACAAAACAUGAAGAAAUGCUCAGCCUCUCCCAUAAUCCAUAAAAUACACUAUAAAAUAGAUAUAAUUUGGCCUUUAAAAUUGGUGGCUCUUUCUAAUAAUAACCAGAGUUGGUGUAAGUACACCCGACAUCCAGAUGUUGGUCUCUAAUACCACUCCCCACUAAGGAGCACUGGGUUCCUUGGGGAAACGGCCAAUUCCAGUUCCAAGACAGACAGUACAUGAUAAGCCUAGAACAUCUUGGCCAGAAAGCUAGGAUAUACUAAAAGUGACGGGAAUGGAGCCAACUUGAAGGCCCCUCACUGGCCAAACUGAGGUCACCUAAAGAAUGUAAAUGAUGAAUUACAAACAAUUGAGUAAAAACAGAAUUCACAGUGAUAUUGAAGACAGGAAUAAAAAGGAGGGAGGCAGCUUUUCUUCAUAGAAGAAUGCCAGCCAAUAAAAACAGAAGGCAUGAUUGAGAAGUCAUUGAUCUUGUCUGGGAGUGGUGGGUCACGUCUGUAAUCCCAGCACUGUGGGAGGCCAAGUCAGGUGGAUCACCUCAGGUGAGGAGUUCAAGACCAGCCUAGCCAACAUGAUGAAACCCCGUCUCUACUAAACAUACAAAAAUUAGCCAGGUGUGGUGGUACACGCCUAUAAUCCCAGCUACUCAGGAGGCUGAGGCAGGAGAAUCACUUGAACCCAGGAGGCAGAGGUGUGCUGAAAUUAUGCCACUGCACUCCAUCUGCACAAUAGAGUGAGACUCUGUCUCAAAAAAAAAAAAGGUCAUUGUUCUCUAACCCCCAGUGCAAUAAUAGAUUCAGUCAGGAUGACCACAGGAUCCCUGGAUGAGAUGCUAUGGGGCAAUAAGAUAGUUAUGUGAUCUCAAACUACCACCCAUGGAUUGCUUAUUACAAAAAUAGAAAUGCAUCUUCACAAUGGAGGGACCUAGUGAAUGUCAGCUAAACCAAGUGGUCAAAUUCUGGGACCACUGACAUGAGCCUCCCAGUGGGAUACGAUGGAAAAUGUAUAACAUCUGCUUUGUAGAUCUCUUGAUAAAAAUGCUUACCCUGACACUAAUCAUGAAGAAACAACCAGACAAACCCAGAAUGUGAAACAUGCUAUGAGACAACUGGAUUCUUCAAGGAAAGGGCAGGGGGUAUUGUUUGAGAGCAGGAGUUGGCAAACUAUGGCCAGCUCAACAUCUGCUAUAAU
rnacentral:lncRNA from 1 species